rnacentral:rRNA from 1 species
CCCCGGGGCCCCCCCCCCGAGGACACCCAAACUCCUGUUUCCACUCGGUGUUGUCUUUCCUAGUUGGCGGCAUUAUCGAAUGAGUCAAAACUUUCAACAACGGAUCUCUUGGUUCUGGUUUCUAUGAACAACGCAGCGAAAUGCUAUAAGUAAUAUGAAUUGCAGAAUUCAGUGAAUCAUCGAAUCUUUGAACGCACAUUGCGCCCGCCAGCAUUCUGGCGGGCAUGCCUGUCCGAGCGUCAUUGUCAUCCCUCGAGCCCGCUCGCGAGCGGGCUCGGCGUUGGGGGUUCCCGGCCCGCCCCGGCCGCCCCCGAAAUGCAGUGGCGACCCCCGCCGCACGCCUCCCCUGCGCAGUAACGAACGCUCGCAUCGGGGGGCGCGGCAACGGAGGUCACGGCCGUGAAACAGCACGGGAGCGCCCUCGCGGGCGCGUCCCCGCCAUUUCGUGGUUGACCUCGGAUCAGGUAGGAGUACCCGCUGAACUUAAGCAUAUCAAUAAGCGGAGGAA